AGCCGAGAUAGCUCAGUC
rnacentral:tRNA from 1 species